rnacentral:rRNA from 1 species
CACGUAGUUAGCCGGUGCUUCUUCUCCAGGUACCGUCACAAAACGCUUCGUCCCUAGCGAAAGGAGUUUACAACCCGAAGGCCGUCAUCCCCCACGCGGCGUCGCUGCAUCAGGCUUGCGCCCAUUGUGCAAUAUUCCCCACUGCUGCCUCCCGUAGGAGUCUGGGCCGUAUCUCAGUCCCAAUGUGGCCGUACACCCUCUCAGGCCGGCUACCCGUCGACGCCUUGGUAGGCCAUUACCCCACCAACAAGCUGAUAGGCCGCGAGCUCAUCCCACACCGAAAAACUUUCCACAAUGGCAUCCAAACCAUCGUCCUAUCCGGUAUUAGACCCAGUUUCCCAGGCUUAUCCCGAAGUGCAGGGCAGAUCACCCACGUGUUACUCACCCGUUCGCCACUCGAGUACCCCUGCAAGCAGGAGCCUUUCCGUUCGACUUGCAUGUGUUAAGCACGCCGCCAGCGUUCAUCCUGAGCCAGGAUCAAACUCU